UACGUAGGGUGCAAGCGUUGUCCGGAAUUAUUGGGCGUAAAGAGCUCGUAGGCGGUCUGUCGCGUCGGCUGUGAAAACCCGGAGCUCAACUCCGGGCCUGCAGUCGAUACGGGCAGACUGGAGUUCGGCAGGGGAGACUGGAAUUCCUGGUGUAGCGGUGGAAUGCGCAGAUAUCAGGAGGAACACCGGUGGCGAAGGCGGGUCUCUGGGCAGUAACUGACGCUGGAGGAGCGAAAGCGUGGGGAGCGAACAGG
rnacentral:rRNA from 1 species